GGCCGAAUGGUUCUUAUCUGCCGUCACAUUCUAUGUUUCUAUGUUACUCGUCUGUGGCAUCAGGAUUUAAGAGAUAAUUUGCUUUAGGUCCUCAUAGAAACAUAGAAUGUGACGGCAGAUAAGAACCAUUCUGCC